rnacentral:rRNA from 1 species
GACGAACGCUGGCGGCGUGCUUAACACAUGCAAGUCGAACGGAAAGGCCCUGCUUUUGUGGGGUGCUCGAGUGGCGAACGGGUGAGUAACACGUGAGUAACCUGCCUUUGACUUUGGGAUAACUUCAGGAAACUGGGGCUAAUACCGGAUAGGUGCUCCUGCUGCAUGGUGGGGGUUGGAAAGUUUCGGCGGUUGGGGAUGGACUCGCGGCUUAUCAGCUUGUUGGUGGGGUAGUGGCUUACCAAGGCUUUGACGGGUAGCCGGCCUGAGAGGGUGACCGGCCACAUUGGGACUGAGACACGGCCCAGACUCGACGGUGUGGCGAUAGACGCGAAUAUUGCACAACAACCGGAGGCUCUAUACAGUGAACCAGCGGGGGGUAAUAUCGCCUCCGGGUUGUGAACCGCUUGCCAAUGAGACUAAGCGUGUGUUACGGUAACAGGUAAAGAAGCACCGGCUAACUCCGUG